UCUCCGUGUGAGCAGUUUGUCUCUCCAGUAAAUUGCGUAUAGCAGUAAAAAGUGGUCUCUUGUGAUUGUUGCGUAUUUUCCAUUAUGCUUAGUGCCAUACUGUAAAUCUUGAAUAACAUUAUGGGACCCAUACGAAGUGCCACUAGUGAUGCUGGAAGUGCUCCCAAGAAGCAUAGAAUCGUCAUGAUAUUACAAGAAAAAGUUGACUUUCAGACAGAUGAUUCAUCCAAUAAACAGACCAUGUAAAUCACUGUAAGCUAUUUGGCAUAUGAAGGUCUUGACCUAAGAAAACCAUCUUGGAUAACCACAGCAAGGAAAAGGAAAAAUGCAACACCUAGGAGAUUUCAGUAAACAGUAGAAUCAUGCCAACCUAAUCUGUGUUAAAAUGCUUGGAAUGUGGGAGCCGCUGAUGAUGCCUGUUGUCUGUGUGUCUGACUGAAUCCUUUCUUUUCUCAGAGCAGCAAAGCAAAGCCUGGGAACCAGGCCAAAUGCCUGCCACUUACCUUAAAUUGAUCAGCCACUUUGAGAUUAAAACCCCUGAAAGCUGCCACACCGUGAAAACAAGGCCUCCUUCACAUUAAAGGCAAAUUGCGACUUUG